AGUAACGUGUGGGCAACCUGCCCUGUACUGGGGAAUAAUCAUUGGAAACGAUGACUAAUACCGCAUGUGGUCCUCGGAAGGCAUCUUCUGAGGAAGAAAGGAUUUAUUCGGUACAGGAUGGGCCCGCAUCUGAUUAGCUAGUUGGUGAGGUAAUGGCCCACCAAGGCGACGAUCGGUAGCCGGACUGAGAGGUUGAACGGCCACAUUGGGACUGAGACACGGCCCAG
rnacentral:rRNA from 1 species